UGCGUAGGCGGAUUGUUAAGUCAGUGGUGAAAGUCUGCGGCUCAACCGUAGAAGUGCCAUUGAUACUGGCAAUCUUGAGUACAGUAGAGGUAGGCGGAAUUUAUGGUGUAGCGGUGAAAUGCAUAGAUACCAUAAAGAACACCUAUAGCGAAGGCAGCUUACUAUACUGUAACUGACGCUGAGGCACGAAAGCGUGGGGAGCGAACAGGAUUAGAUACCCUGGUAGUCC
rnacentral:rRNA from 1 species